UACGUAGGGUGCGAGCGUUAAUCGGAAUUACUGGGCGUAAAGCGUGCGCAGGCGGUUCGUCGUGUCUCGUGUGAAAGCCCCGGGCUCAACCUGGGAAUGGCAUGGGAAACUGGCGAACUGGAGUGUGGCAGAGGGGGGUGGAAUUCCGCGUGUAGCAGUGAAAUGCGUAGAGAUGCGGAGGAACACCGAUGGCGAAGGCAGCCCCCCUGGGCUGACACUGACGCUCAGGCACGAAAGCGUGGGGAGCAAACAGG
rnacentral:rRNA from 1 species